GAGCGGCGGACGGGUGAGUAAUGCCUAGGAAUCUGCCUGGUAGUGGGGGAUAACGUCCGGAAACGGGCGCUAAUACCGCAUACUAUCAGAUGAGCCUAGGUCGGAUUAGCUAGUUGGGGGGGUAAAGGCCUACCAAGGCGACGAUCCGUAACUGGUCUGAGAGGAUGAUCAGUCACACUGGAACUGAGACACGGUCCAGACUCCGACGGGAGGCAGUAGUGGGGAAUAUUGGACAAUGGGCUAAAGCCUGAUCCAGCCAUGCAGCGUGUGUGAAGAAGGUUGUCGGAUUGUAAAGCACUUUAAGUUGGGAGGCGUUACCAACAGAAUAAUCACCGGCUAAAUUCGUGCCAGCAGCCGCGGUAAUAC
rnacentral:rRNA from 1 species